UAGGAUUAAGCAAAAAGUGAAAUGUUUGUUAGGUUUAAGUAAAAAGUGUCAAUUUCAAGUUUUUUAAAAAAUGUCUGCGUAUAUACUAUAUUCAAGAGCAUUACAAUACAUUUGCAUUCCAGUCUCAACACUACAUACAGUUCCUAUGACCCAUAUAGUACACAUAACAUCGAGAAGCACAUGGAAGGACCAGUUGAGCAGGAACGAAGCAACCUAUAGAGCCACAAAGCAAAUGAGAAGUCUAUGCCUCGGUGUAGUUAUUAAUUAUUCUGUAGACUCAGGAGCAGUCACAUUCAAGCAACAGAUACAUACCAAGGAUUACCGGAUCUCUCCGACGCUCAUAAACACUGUCCAACACUUGUGAUCCAUUUACUCGCAUAAAACGGCAUAUACACGUAUUCUACACUUUGAAACGUUCAGCCCAGAAGAUGUUCUUAGAAUAGUUGGUGAAUAUUCUCAAGACUCCAUCUGGCACGCAACAGCAUACAACAUACCUAUUUUAUGAAAUAAACCGGACUGCGGAGUGCGUAAGCAUAGCAAGGCAUUCGUUGAUCCGCAGAAAUAUCCACAUCGCCCAGAAGCACCAUUCAAUCAAGAAAGAUCAAAUAAACCAUCAAUACACAUACAUAUCUACAUACAUAUCUACAUACAUAUCUACAUACAUAUCUACAUACAUAUCUACGUACAUACCUACAUACCUGCAUACAUACAUACAUACAUACAUACAUACAUACAUACAUACAUACAUACAUACAUACAUACAUACAUAGAUACAUACAUACAUACAUAGAUACAUAAACACUUAUACACUCACAAAGUACAUCAUAGUAAGGAUAAAUGUAUAAAUGCGAAGCCACAUUUGAACACAUUUUUAUUUGUACGAUCAAAUCAAAUAAAAAUACAAUGACAAUGACAACGACCAGUCAUCUGAACAUCAAACGCAUCAACAUGACUGAUCAACAGCAUUAUUCUACACCUUUACACUCGUAUAUUGGAGAAGUACUAGACUACGUCAUACAAGUAUAAGAUGAAAUUAAACUGCUGGCUAACCAUAUGCAUACAUAUAUAUACAUAAUCAAAUUUUGAUUUGAUACCCGGACUUAGAUAUACUUGUACUUUAUGAUUGAAAGAAAGAUGAAAUAAGUUGUAGAGAGAGAGAGAGAGAGAGAGAGAGACAGAGAGAGAGAGAGAGAGAGAUAAUGCACAAUUUAUAUGUGAUUGAACGUUUAAGAACAUCUCUCAAUUUUAUACUUUACCACCGGAUUGAACUUAAGCUUAUAUCUGAAGCACCUCACGGACUAUGACCUUAUACCCAGAUUGAACUUUAGAGCAACGCGCUAUUGAGCAUCAGCUAUUGUCUUUCCUUGAUGCGGCAUGAAGAGAGUUGGGUUCCUGUUGUUGCAGCUCAUUAACGAGUUGAGCCUCAAAUCGAUUCUCGAAGAGCUCCCGCAGCAGCUAUAGGAAAAAAGAGCAAUAAUUUCCAUUUCGAUACAAAAAUUUUAAGUAUAUAUUUUGAUGUAGAUAUUUAUUUGAUAUGCAAAAUUAAAAAUGUAUUUUUACAAAACAAAAA